ACAAGCGGUGGAGCAUGUGGUUUAAUUCGACGCAACGCGAAGAACCUUACCAGGGCUUGACAUCCCCUGACCGCGUAUGAAAGACGUUUUCACCCUCGGGUGACAGGGAGACAGGUGGUGCAUGGUUGUCGUCAGCUCGUGUCGUGAGAUGUUGGGUUAAGUCCCGCAACGAGCGCAACCCCCUACGUUUAGUUGCUAACGCGUGAAGGCGAGCACUCUAGACGAACUGCCGUUGACAAAACGGAGGAAGUGGGGAUGACGUCAAAUCAUCAUGCCCCUUAUGUUCUGGGCUACACACGUGCUACAAUGGCCGGUACAGACGGACGCAAAGCCGCGGGGUGGAGCAAAUCCUAAAAAAGCCGGUCUCAGUUCGGACUGCAGGCUGCAAUUCGCCUGCAUGAAGUCGGAAUCGCUAGUAAUCGCAGGUCAGCAUACUGCGGUGAAUACGUUCCCGGGCCUU
rnacentral:rRNA from 1 species